AUUGAACGCUGGCGGCAGGCUUAACACAUGCAAGUCGAGCGGCGCGGCGGCCGGGUGAGUAAUGUCUGGGAAACUGCCUGAUGGAGGGGGAUAACUACGCGAAAGCGUAGCUCAUACCGCAUACUAUUGGAGCGGCCGAUAUCGGAUUAGCUAGUUGGUGGGGUAACGGCUCACCAAGGCGACGAUCCGUAGCUGGUUUGAGAGGACGACCAGCCACAAUGGGACUGAGACACGGCCCAGACUCCUACGGGAGGCAGCAGUGGGGAAUUUUGGACGAUGGGGGAAACCCUGAUCCAGCAAUCCCGCGUGUGCGAUGAAGGCCUUCGGGUUGUAAAGCACUUUUGGCAGGAAAGCGGUACCUGCAGAAUAAGCACCGGCUAACUACGUGCCAGCAGCCGCGGUAAUAC
rnacentral:rRNA from 1 species